GAAAUGCGAUACGUAGGGUGAAUUGCAGAAUUCAGUGAAUCAUCGAAUCUUUGAACGCACAUUGCGCCCUUUGGUAUUCCAAAGGGCAUGCCUGUUCGAGCGUCAUUUGUACCCUCAAGCUUUGCUUGGUGUUGGGCGUCUUUUGUCUUUGGCCUCGCCCAAAGACUCGCCUUAAAACGAUUGGCAGCCGGCCUACUGGUUUCGCAGCGCAGCACAUUUUUGCGCUUGCAAUCAGCACAAGGACGGCAAUCCAUCAAGACUACAUUUUUACGUUUGACCUCGGAUCAGGUAGGGAUACCCGCUGAACUUAAGC
rnacentral:misc_RNA from 1 species